CCCGGUUCCUCCGCCGCCACGACUUGUUGACGGGGAACCCACCUUUUCUGUCAAUCGUAUUUUGGACUCUAGAAGGAGGGGACGCGGAUUCCAGUACCUGGUGGACUGGGAGGGUUACGGCCCGGAGGAGAGAAGUUGGGUGCCUGCUAGGGACAUUCUGGAUCACUCCCUUAUCGAUGAUUUCAAUCGACAGAUCGUUGUUUCUUCCCUGAGGUUGUGUCGUGUGUCCGUGCUCUUCUCUCGCCGCCCUUGUGUGGAUUAUCUGCUGUGCUCCUUCCUACCCAUCCGGACACACUCCCCUGGUUUUCUCAGUACGCUAUCAUCGGAAGAUGCGUCCGAGUCCCUGGGUCGGAUUCCGUCUGAGUACAGUCUGUCUGUCCUGUUGCUGCUGUAAACUGUAUUCAUUAAACCAUCGUUGCUUGC